GUUAGGAAUAUUGGACAAUGGGCGCAAGCCUGAUCCAGCCAUGCCGCGUGAGUGAUGAAGGCCUUCGGGUUGUAAAGCUCUUUAGUCCACGAAUAUAAUGACUGUAGUGGAAGAAUAAGCCCCGGCUAACUUCGUGCCAGCAGCCGCGGUAAUACGAAGGGGGCGAGCGUUAUUCGGAAUCACUGGGCGUAAAGCGUGCGUAGGCUGUUCUGUAAGUCAGAAGUGAAAGCCCAGGGCUUAACCCUGGAAUUGCUUUUGAAACUACAAGACUCGGAGUCGGGAGAGGAUAGCGGAAUUGUCAGUGUAGCAGUGAAAUGCGUAGAUAUUGACAGGAACACCAGUGGCGCAAGCGGCUAUCUGGACCGAUAUUGACGCUGAGGCACGAAAGCGUGGGGAGCAAACAGGAUUAGAUACCCUAGUAGUCC
rnacentral:rRNA from 1 species